UCUGGACAUCGUGAACUAUUGCUAGAUGGUAACUUCGAUUAGUAUAAAAAAUAGUUCCUAUGCUACUGGCUUAGUAUUCGAACCUAUGGAGUCACGUAUAAAGUCAGGCAACGUAGGAAAGAAUGGACCUAAGUUUAUGAGUUCAAUUUGGAAGUAUGUAACUUGAUUAAAUAAAUAGAUUAGCUUAAUUAAGAAUUAAGUUAAGGAUCAUAUAGGAUU
rnacentral:lncRNA from 1 species